rnacentral:rRNA from 1 species
UCAGGAUGAACGUUGGCAGUGUGCCUAAGACAUGCAAGUCGAACGAAGCACUUUAGUUUGAUUUCUUCGGAACGAAGACUUUAGUGACUGAGUGGCAAACGGGUGAGUAACACGUGGAUGACCUACCCUGAAGUGGGGGAUAACCUUGGGAAACCAGGACUAAUCCCGCAUGUGCUCUUUGAUUGUGAUCAAAGAAGAAAGAUUUAUCGCUUUGGGAUGGGUCCGCGGGCCAUCAGCUAGUUGGUGAGGUAAAAGCUCACCAAGGCAACGACGGCUAGCCGGCCUGAGAGGGUGAACGGCCACAGGUGUACUGAGACACGGACCCCACUCCUACGGGAGGCAGCAGUUAGGAAUCUUCCACAAUGGGCGCAAGCCUGAUGGAGCGACACUGCGUGAGGGAAGAAGGCUUUCGGGUUGUAAACCUCUAAAAGUAGGACGAUAAUGACGGUACUACUUGAGAAGCACCGGCUAACUCCGUGCCAGCAGCCGCGGUAAUACGGAGGGUGCAAACGUUAUCCGGAAUCACUGGGCGUAAAGGGCACGCAGGCGGUUAGUUAAGUCUGAUGUUAAAGCGUGGGGCUCAACCCCAUACAGGCGUUGGAUACUGGCUAACUAGACUUUUGGAGAGGUAAGUAGAAUUACCAGUGUAGCGGUGGAAUGCGUAGAUACUGGUAGGAAUACCAAUAGCGAAGGCAGCUUACUAGACAAUGAGUGACGCUGAGGUGCGAAAGUGUGGGGAGCAAACCGGAUUAGAUACCCGGGUAGUCCACACCCUAAACGAUGCAUACUUGGUGUUGGUGCGCAGGCAUCAGCGCCGGAGCAAACGCGUUAAGUAUGCCGCCUGGGAAGUACGGCCGCAAGGUUGAAACUCAAAGGACUUGACGGGGACCCGGACAAGCGGUGGAGCAUGUG